rnacentral:rRNA from 1 species
UGAAUCCAAGCUGUUCGGGGCGCUAUAGAUGAUCUUGGCUCAGAUACGAUAGCGUGGUCGCUGAACUUCAGCGGAGCCUGAGUACACGUGGGUAACCUGCCUGUAGACUGGGAUAUCUCCGGGACCCGGGGCUAAUACCGGAUGGUUGUUUGAACCGCAUGGUUCAAACAUAAAAGGUGGCUUCGGCUACCACUUACAGAUGGACCCGCGGCGCAUUAGCUAGUUGGUGAGGUAGCGGCUCACCAAGGCAACGAUGCGUAGCCGACCUGAGAGGGCGACCAAAACAUACUGGCACUGACCCAGAAAAAAAAAAUCAGGGGGAGGCAGCAAUAGGGAAUCUUCCGCAAUGAACGAAAGUCUGACGGAGCACGCCGCGUGAGUGAUGAAGGUUUUCGGAUCGUAAAGCUCUGUUUGUUAGGGAAGAACAAGUACCGUUCGAAUAGGGCGGUACCUUGACGGUACCUAACCAGAAAGCCACGGCUAACUACGUGCCAGCAGCCGCGGUAAUACGUAGGUGGCAAGCGUUGUCCGGAAUUAUUGGCGUAAAGGGCUCGCAGGGCGGUUUCUUAAGUCUGAUGUGAAGCCCCCGGCUCACCGGGGAGGGUCAUUGGAAACUGGGGAACUUGAAUGCAGAAGAGGAAAGUGGAAAUUCUACGUGUAGCGGUGAAAUGGCGUAGAGAUGUGGGAGGGACACCAGUGGGCGAAGGUGACUCUUCUGGUCUGUUAACUGACGCUGAGAAGCGAAAGGCGUGGGGGAGCAACAGGAUUAAGUAUCCCCUGGUAGUCCACGCCCGUAAACGAUGAGUGCCUAGGUGUUAGGGGGUUUCCCGCCCCCUUAAUGGAUGGCGACUAACGCAUUUAGGCCCUCCCGGCGUGGGGGAGUACGGUCCGAAAGAAUGAAAACUCUCAAAGUGAAUGUGCCGGGGGGCCACGCACAAAGCGCGUUGGAACUCAUGUGGUUUUUAAAUUCCCAAACCAAAGCGAAAAAACCCUUUUCC